rnacentral:rRNA from 1 species
AGUGAACGCUGGCGGUAGGCCUAACACAUGCAAGUCGAACGGCAGCACAGUAAGAGCUUGCUCUUACGGGUGGCGAGUGGCGGACGGGUGAGGAAUACAUCGGAAUCUACUUUUUCGUGGGGGAUAACGUAGGGAAACUUACGCUAAUACCGCAUACGGCCUACGGGUGAAAGCAGGGGAUCUUCGGACUUUGCGCGAUUGAAUGAGCCGAUGUCGGAUUAGCUAGUUGGCGGGGUAAAGGCCCACCAAGGCGACGAUCCGUAGCUGGUCUGAGAGGAUGAUCAGCCACACUGGAACUGAGACACGGUCCAGACUCCUACGGGAGGCAGCAGUGGGGAAUAUUGGACAAUGGGCGCAAGCCUGAUCCAGCCAUACCGCGUGGGUGAAGAAGGCCUUCGGGUUGUAAAGCCCUUUUGUUGGGAAAGAAGAGCAGCAGGUUAAUACCCCGCUGUUCUGACGGUACCCAAAGAAUAAGCACCGGCUAACUUCGUG